CGGGGGGGCAAGCGUUGUUCGGAAUUACUGGGCGUAAAGGGCGCGUAGGCGGCCUACUAAGUCGGACGUGAAAUCCCUCGGCUCAACCGAGGAACUGCGUCCGAUACUGGCAGGCUGGAAUCCGGGAGAGGGAUGUGGAAUUCCAGGUGUAGCGGUGAAAUGCGUAGAUAUCUGGAGGAACACCGGUGGCGAAGGCGGCAUCCUGGACCGGUAUUGACGCUGAGGCGCGAAAGCUAGGGGAGCAAACGGGAUUAGAUACCCCGGUAGUCCUAGCCCUAAACGAUGAGUGCUUGGUGUGGCGGGUAUCGAUCCCUGCCGUGCCGAAGCUAACGCAUUAAGCACUCCGCCUGGGGAGUACGGUCGCAAGGCUG
rnacentral:rRNA from 1 species